rnacentral:miRNA from 1 species
CCCUUUCCAUCCCGGGCAUUGG